GAUGAACGCUGGCGGCGUCCUUAACACAUGCAAGUCGAACGGUGAAGCAGGAGCUUGCUCUUGUGGAUCAGUGGCGAACGGGUGAGUAACACGUGAGCAACCUGCCCCUGACUCUGGGAUAAGCGCUGGAAACGGCGUCUAAUACUGGAUAUGUGAUGUGACCGCAUGGUCUGCAUCUGGAAAGAAUUUCGGUUGGGGAUGGGCUCGCGGCCUAUCAGCUUGUUGGUGAGGUAAUGGCUCACCAAGGCGUCGACGGGUAGCCGGCCUGAGAGGGUGACCGGCCACACUGGGACUGAGACACGGCCCAGACUCCUACGGGAGGCAGCAGUGGGGAAUAUUGCACAAUGGGCUGAAGCCUGAUGCAGCAACGCCGCGUGAGGGAUGACGGCCUUCGGGUUGUAAACCUCUUUUAGCAGGGAAGAAGCGAAAGUGACGGUACCUGCAGAAAAAGCACCGGCUAACUACGUGCCAGCAGCCGCGGUAA
rnacentral:rRNA from 1 species